UACGGAGGGGGCUAGCGUUGUUCGGAAUUACUGGGCGUAAAGCGCACGUAGGCGGCUUUGUAAGUUAGAGGUGAAAGCCCGGGGCUCAACUCCGGAAUUGCCUUUAAGACUGCAUCGCUAGAAUUGUGGAGAGGUAAGUGGAAUUCCGAGUGUAGAGGUGAAAUUCGUAGAUAUUCGGAAGAACACCGGUGGCGAAGGCGGCUUCCUGGACCGACACUGACGCUGAGGCGCGAAAGCUAGGGGAGCAAACGGG
rnacentral:rRNA from 1 species